GUGGGGAAUAUUGGACAAUGGGCGAAAGCCUGAUCCAGCCAUGCCGCGUGUGUGAAGAAGGUCUUCGGAUUGUAAAGCACUUUAAGUUGGGAGGAAGGGCAGUAAGUUAAUACCUUGCUGUUUUGACGUUACCGACAGAAUAAGCACCGGCUAACUUCGUGCCAGCAGCCGCGGUAAUACGAAGGGUGCAAGCGUUAAUCGGAAUUACUGGGCGUAAAGCGCGCGUAGGUGGUUUUGUAAGUUGGAGGUGAAAUCCCCGGGCUCAACCUGGGAACUGCCUCCAAAACUGCAUGACUAGAGUACGGUAGAGGGUAGUGGAAUUUCCUGUGUAGCGGUGAAAUGCGUAGAUAUAGGAAGGAACACCAGUGGCGAAGGCGACUACCUGGACUGAUACUGACACUGAGGCGCGAAAGCGUGGGGAGCAAACAGGAUUAGAUACCCGGGUAGUCC
rnacentral:rRNA from 1 species